AUUGAACGCUGGCGGCAGGCCUAACACAUGCAAGUCGAACGGUAACAGGAAGCAGCUUGCUGCUUUGCUGACGAGUGGCGGACGGGUGAGUAAUGUCUGGGAAACUGCCCGAUGGAGGGGGAUAACUACUGGAAACGGUAGCUAAUACCGCAUAACGUCGCAAGACCAAAGAGGGGGACCUUAGGGCCUCUUGCCAUCGGAUGUGCCCAGAUGGGAUUAGCUAGUAGGUGGGGUAACGGCUCACCUAGGCGACGAUCCCUAGCUGGUCUGAGAGGAUGACCAGCCACACUGGAACUGAGACACGGUCCAGACUCCUACGGGAGGCAGCAGUGGGGAAUAUUGCACAAUGGGCGCAAGCCUGAUGCAGCCAUGCCGCGUGUAUGAAGAAGGCCUUCGGGUUGUAAAGUACUUUCAGCGGGGAGGAAGGGAGUAAAGUUAAUACCUUUGCUUAUUGACGUUACCCGCAGAAGAAGCACCGGCUAACUCCGUG
rnacentral:rRNA from 1 species